rnacentral:rRNA from 1 species
GAAUCCGCCAAGGAGUGUGUAACAACUCACCUGCCGAAUGAACUAGCCCUGAAAAUGGAUGACGCUUAAGCGGACAGCCGACACCGCGCCGUUUGGGUAAGAAGCGACCUAAAUGAGUAGGAGGGCGUGGCGGUCUUGUGAGGAAGGUCGAGACGCGAGUCUGACUGAAACGGCCGCUAGUGCAGAUCUUGGUGGUAGUAGCAAAUAUUCAAGCGGGAUCCUUGAAGGGCGAAGCGGGGAAGGGUUCCACGCGAACAUUGAUUGGGCGUGGGUGAGUCGUUCCUAAGCCGGGUGGUAAUCGUUCUUCGAAGCGGCGAAAGGGAAGCGGGUUAAAAUUCCUGCACACGGAUGUGGAGGCGGUGACGCAAAUUGAGGUGAAGACAUCAGCGGUGGCGCUAGGCAGAGUUUUCUUUUCUGUUUGACCUGUGAGAUGCACGGUGUGGAAUCCGAUUAUCGGGAGAAACACGCGCCGAAGGGCAGAGCGUCGGGGCGUCCCCGGCGUCUAGCACGCCACCGAUGGUCCUUGAAAAUUCAUCUGCAAUAUAAUUUCACGCCGUGGCGUACCGAUAACCGCAUCAGGUCCCCAAGGUGAACAGCCUCUGCUCAAUAUGAACAAUGCAGGUAAGGGAAGUCGGCA